GACUCUUAGCGGUGGGUCACUCGGCGUGUGUGAUGACGACAAGCAGAGCUAGCUGCGAGAACUAAUGUGAAUUGCAGGACACACUGAUCAAUAACAAUUUGAACUCACUUUGCGACCUCGGAUUCCUUCCCGCCUGUCUCAGGGUCA
rnacentral:rRNA from 1 species